AGUGAACGCUGGCGGUAGGCCUAACACAUGCAAGUCGAACGGCAGCACAGUAAGAGCUUGCUCUUACGGGUGGCGAGUGGCGGACGGGUGAGGAAUACAUCGGAAUCUACUUUUUCGUGGGGGAUAACGUAGGGAAACUUACGCUAAUACCGCAUACGACCUACGGGUGAAAGCAGGGGAUCUUCGGACCUUGCGCGAGUGAAUGAGCCGCUGUCGGAUUAGCUAGUUGGCGGGGUAAAGGCCCACCAAGGCGACGAUCCGUAGCUGGUCUGAGAGGAUGAUCAGCCACACUGGAACUGAGACACGGUCCAGACUCCUACGGGAGGCAGCGGUGGGGAAUAUUGGACAAUGGGCGCAAGCCUGAUCCAGCCAUACCGCGUGGGUGAAGAAGGCCUUCGGGUUGUAAAGCCCUUUUGUUGUGAAAGAAAAGCAGCAGGUUAAUACCCCGCUGUUCUGACGGUACCCAAAGAAUAAGCACCGGCUAACUUCGUG
rnacentral:rRNA from 1 species